UCAAACAGAGCGCCAGCGCUAU
rnacentral:miRNA from 1 species